rnacentral:rRNA from 1 species
GACGAACGCUGGCGGCGUGCUUAACACAUGCAAGUCGAACGGAAAGGCCCUGCCUUUGUGGGGUUCUCGAGUGGCGAACGGGUGAGUAACACGUGAGUAACCUGCCCUUGUCUUUGGGAUAACUUCAGGAAACUGCGGCUAAUACCGGAUAGGAGCUCCUGCUGCAUGGUGGGCGUUGGAAAGUUUCGGCGGUUGUGGCUCGGCUCGCGGCUUAUCAGCUUGUUGGUGGGGUAGUUGCUUACCAAGGCUUUGACGGGUAGCCGGCCUGAGAGGGUUACCAGCCACAUGGGGACUGAGAGACGGACCAGACGGCUACGGGAGGCAGCGGUGGGGAAUAUUGCACAAUGGGCGGAAGCCAGAUGUAGCAGCGCCGCGUGCGGGAUGACGGCCUUCGGGUUGUAAACAGCUUUCGACUGUGACGAAGCGUGAGUGACGGUAAUGGGUAAAGAAGCACCGGCUAACUACGUG